GAUGAACGCUGGCGGCGUGCCUAAUACAUGCAAGUCGAGCGAACAGACGAGGAGCUUGCUCCUCUGACGUUAGCGGCGGACGGGUGAGUAACACGUGGAUAACCUACCUAUAAGACUGGGAUAACUUCGGGAAACCGGAGCUAAUACCGGAUAAUAUAUUGAACCGCAUGGUUCAAUAGUGAAAGACGGUUUUGCUGUCACUUAUAGAUGGAUCCGCGCCGCAUUAGCUAGUUGGUAAGGUAACGGCUUACCAAGGCAACGAUGCGUAGCCGACCUGAGAGGGUGAUCGGCCACACUGGAACUGAGACACGGUCAAGACUCCUACGGGAGGCAGCAGUAGGGAAUCUUCCGCAAUGGGCGAAAGCCUGACGGAGCAACGCCGCGUGAGUGAUGAAGGUCUUCGGAGCGUAAAACUCUGUUAUUAGGGAAGAACAAAUGUGUAAGUAACUAUGCACGUCUUGACGGUACCUAAUCAGAAAGCCACGGCUAACUACGUG
rnacentral:rRNA from 1 species